UUUCCGUAGGUGAACCUGCGGAGGGAUCAUUACAGAGUUCAUGCCCUACCGGGUAGAUCUCCCACCCUGUGUUAUUAUUACUUUGUUGCUUUGGCGGGCCGUUAGGCUCCGGCCCGACUACCGGCCCCGGCUGGUAAGCGCCCGCCAGAGGACCCAAAACCCUGAAUAUUAGUGUCGUCCGAGUACUAUAUAAUAGUUAAAACUUUCAACAACGGAUCUCUUGGUUCUG
rnacentral:misc_RNA from 1 species